UACGUAGGGGGCAAGCGUUGUCCGGAAUUAUUGGGCGUAAAGAGCGCGUAGGCGGUCCGAUAAGUCGGCUGUGAAAGUCAGGGGCUCAACCCUUGAAAGCCGGCCGAUACUGUCGGACUAGAGUCCGGAAGAGGCAAGUGGAAUUCCCGGUGUAGCGGUGAAAUGCGCAGAUAUCGGGAGGAACACCAAUGGCGAAGGCAGCUUGCUGGGACGGUACUGACGCUGAGGCGCGAAGGCGUGGGGAGCGAACGGG
rnacentral:rRNA from 1 species